AACACUUCUUAUAACGUUCAGAAACCACCAGAUAGAGAGAAUGCUGUCUGUCCUUAAUGCAAGCAGCCCUUGGAAUUGUUUCUAGAGCUGUCAUGAGCUGCCGAUGGGAAGGUGACAUCAGUGUCGGUCACAAAUUCUCCCUUCAGCCUGAUCUAUGCCUCUAGAGAGAAUUCCCAGGAAGGCAAGUUUUUGCCCUAACUUUGGGAAUCCAGUAUGUAUGGACUGAACCAGGGUUCCCCAUAACUACCCCUCUUUUAUGUACACCACAAUCACCCUGUGAUUGACCCAUUUGCUGAGCAGAGCGUACCAAGAGGGAGCCUAGAUCUUAAACAGAGCUUUGAUUGAUUGGGGCUGAAAGGGGGCAGAUUCUGUAUGAGACCAGCAGGCAUUACAAACUUCUCAAUUUGAAACAAAAAUGCUUUAAUGCUACUUAUUGUUGUUGUCUUAUUGUGAAAGUUAGUCAUUCUUAUAUAUGGUUGGCUUUCUUUCAAGGUCAAUUGCACAGUCUGUUCUUUGGGGGCACCGCAUAGCCCUAUAGCAUGCUUAAAAUGCAUAAAGCUUAGAGGAAGACUAGUUCUCUGGAGAGAAUUCUGUGUUUGUCCAAGAACUGGAUCCCUGCCUCCUCCCACACAGUCACUCCACAGCCAGUUGCAUACUUGCAGAGAGAUUUAUGGGGCUGAACAUACAGCUGCAAGUUUUCUUUUCUUCUACUUUUUUUUUCUUCCAGGAACAGUGUCCUGCUGUCAGGUCUGUGUGCACUAGACACAAACACAUAACUUAUUUACUACAGCAGUAUCCAAAACUCCUAAGUAGUGUCCUUGCUGAAUGUGAGUGUUUUCAUGAAUAUGAAACAUUCUGAAGAUGUAAGGAAUUCCUAGAUACAAGCCAAUCUUGACUCAGUUUACAUCUCUGUCUAAUAUUUUGGUGAAGGACCAUCCAGGAGUCUAGUUACACUGUACAGCUGUUUCAGUUCUAAAGCAACUUGGUUACCUUAUGGUCAAGAUCAGAAAUUCCUUAACGGAAUUUGACUGCUCUGUUUCCUUUAAAAGUAUGCUGAUUGUUUAUAGUAGCUUCUGGAUUCUCUGUCCUUGGGAGGUUCUCUUAGAUUGAAGCAAAUUCUCUCUCAUACCUUGUGUUGGUUUUUGUUUUUAUUUUAAUUUUUCCUUUGUGAUCUGAAUGAAUAACAUCAUCACUUAACACCUAUUGCCAUUUCAAAGACAGAAUCCCAACAGGCUUUUCUGGGUAUGGACCCAUGCAAUGGUUUGUCUGCCUUUCAACAAUUUGUAUCAUCUUGGCCAUUUUGGGGAACAGGGAUUGUGCAUGGGGAAGGAUGGAAGAGGAAAACCAAUAUUUAUUUAACAUUCAGUGGUAGUAAACACUGGGAUUAGUACUUAAUUAGAGUUGAUCCUCAUAAUAAACUUGAUCCCCAUUUUACAGAUGAGUAAAUUAUAACUCAGAGAAUUUCUAACUUGCCCAAAGUCAUACAACUAAUAAAUUGUAAAGGUGGGAGUUAAAGCAAUUUUUUAUUGAACUAUAUAGAAAAUGUACAAAUUAUUUAUACACAUCUCCAGUUAUUACAAAGUGAACUGCUAGGAAUGUGAGUGGAAUUGGUAAUGUCAGUUAAAGGCAGA
rnacentral:lncRNA from 10 species